AAUUUUUUUUUUUUUAUAUUUCAGUGAUUUUUGUGCACAGCUUGGCUUUCCUACUGUUUGGCUGUGGGGUAGAGCCAGUUAACUUCUCCUCUGGAUUGGAAGAAGUGCAGUGAAGUUGGGAUGUCCAGACCGGGAAGGCUGCUGUGGAGGCAAUGCCUCCCUACAGUUCUGGGUCUGCUUUCAGUCUCUAAAAGAAGAGCAGCAAGCCUGACAUGCUCCCAAAAGUUGGACCAUCCUUUGGCUGCGACGGAAAGGUGAUGGAAAUCAGCCCAGGUUGACUGGAUAGAAGGGAGCCGUCCUGACACCAACAGAACCCCAGAGGAGCAGAGAAUCAUUCCUUGUGCCAUCCUACCUCCACCUGUCUGUCAGGUAUGUUAAACACCAUUUUGUUAAAUCUUGAGAAGCCUCAUACAUAAAGCUUGUAAAGGAAGUGAGAUGAAGUCCCAGAAAAAGCAUUUACCAGGAUUACUCAAAAGUGCUGCCAAGAAGCAUUUGCACCAUUUACAGCAUUAAUGCAUCUCCUUCUGCUGUGACAAUUUAUCACUUUUUUAGAUCCCUGCAAGCACUGCAGCACAGCUCCCUAGGGAAAGUUCUGCAGGUCACCACUCCAAACAACCCACACCUGCUGAAGGGGUGCAGCUGGUACACAGGGAGCUCCACCAGAGACAGAAAAAACAAAAUGAAGGAGCAAAGAGGACAGAGCCAUGAGCUAGAAAGGACACCUUAGAGGAGAUCACAUGCCAGAGGUGCAGCUAGUCCCAAACCAGUGAGUCUCACCAUUGC